CCGGCUCCCAGACUAAAAGGAGCAACCAUCAGCUGAUCCCUCACAGCUGAGCUUUGGCGUCGGGGUCUUUGGUGCCGUCUCUGAUAUUAAAGUCGUGGACACCGUUGUUAAAGGUGCUGAGUCAUCUGGACAGUUAAAGCAGUCCAAGGUGUAAAGACGAAACACUGACAUGGCCCCGACACUGUAUGAUGAGAAACCAGAGCUUGGGGACUUGAUUGAGGUCCUCCGUGGCACCUAUCAGCACUGGGCUGUGUAUAUUGGC